GAUGAACGCUGGCGGCGUGCCUAAUACAUGCAAGUCGAGCGAACAGACGAGGAGCUUGCUCCUCUGACGUUAGCGGCGGACGGGUGAGUAACACGUGGAUAACCUACCUAUAAGACUGGGAUAACUUCGGGAAACCGGAGCUAAUACCGGAUAACAUGUUGAACCGCAUGGUUCAACAGUGAAAGACGGUCUUGCUGUCACUUAUAGAUGGAUCCGCGCCGCAUUAGCUAGUUGGUAAGGUAACGGCUUACCAAGGCAACGAUGCGUAGCCGACCUGAGAGGGUGAUCGGCCACACUGGAACUGAGACACGGUCCAGACUCCUACGGGAGGCAGCAGUAGGGAAUCUUCCGCAAUGGGCGAAAUCCUGACGGAGCAACGCCGCGUGAGUGAAGAAGGUCUUCGGAUCGUAAAACUCUGUUAUUAGGGAAGAACAAAUGUGUAAGUAACUAUGCACGUCCUGACGGUACCUAAUCAGAAAGCCACGGCUAACUACGUG
rnacentral:rRNA from 1 species